rnacentral:lncRNA from 1 species
CCUCCAUGCAAUGUCGUUCAUCCUCUCGAGUCUCUUGUCCCAUACUCGAUCCAUCUCUAUCUGGAGCUCCACUUCGCACUGGGCUCCAGCUGGCAUCCUCCAUGUAGAUGGCUCCUCUUUGCACAAGAGAGCAUCGAUCAACCCUCCACAAUCGAUCUCCAUCUUAAUUGUACCUAUCUUCUCCAUCUUCAAUCUUGCUCAACACCACC